rnacentral:misc_RNA from 1 species
UUGAAUUGUUUGUUUGAAUUGGCUUAAAACCCCAAUUCAACAUCCAUAUCCAUAACACCUGUGCACUGUUGGAUGACCUAACUCGCAAGAGUCUGGAAGUCCACUUUUACACCAAACAAUUUGUAACAAAUGUAGUCUUAUUAUAACAUAAUA